rnacentral:rRNA from 1 species
UACAGAGGGUGCAAGCGUUGUUCGGAAUUAUUGGGCGUAAAGGGAGUGUAGGCGGUUUGUUAAGUCUUCUGUGAAAUCUACGGGCUUACCCCGUAAAGUGCAGAGGAAACUAGCAGGCUUGAGUGUCGGAGAGGAUAGGGGAAUUCCCGGUGUAGAGGUGAAAUUCGUAGAGAUCGGGAGGAACAUCAGUGGCGAAGGCGCCUAUCUGGCUGACAACUGACGCUGAGACUCGAAAGCAUGGGGAGCAAACAGG